ACCUCCAAUUAUUUGUUUACUUUCCUAAUCUCAGUACCCAGGAUCAUUCCUGUCAUAUAAUAGAACCUCCAUAAAUUUUUUUUUACAGUUUUAAUUUUUCUCAAAAGAACAGGCACACAUAAUUGACUAGUGCCAGGUGGUGUAAAUAUGACAUAGUAAUUACAAAGGAGUAUUUGUAAGUCAGAGCAAUAGCAGAGCACAUGGUCCCUGGGCUCCCAUCACCCUCAAAGAAGUGGCUGAAGCCAGCCUGCCUGGACUGGAUGCUCUUGGGGGCCAGACAUAUGCCCCAGGCCAUUCUCAUUGGUUGCUUCAGAUGACCAGACCCAUCCCCUUUUCCUCAUUUCCCUUCCCAGAGGCUGCAAGUUCGAGAAGUGUUCAACUCCAGAUUACAUUUGAGCCCAUUUUUAUUAAAAAGUUACCAAAAGAAAUUCAAAGUGGACUGGAGAGAAAUGUUUCAAAGAGCUCAAGGGCAGAAAGGCCAGGGUUGGAAGCUUCUGGCUUUUUGCCCAACUGCAGCUGCUGGGAUGCACAAGGUUCGGAGGCCACUCCAGCUCCUGCCGGGAGGACACAGUGGCUGUCAGUCAAGAACAAAAGGCCAUGCUCUGGGGCUCCGAUCCUGGGCUCCUCAGCAACAACUUUCUCUCUAUGUCAGCACAGCUGCCAAGCUUUGUGCACACCUGCUUCCCUGGGCAGGGCCAGGAGAGACUCACCGGCUCCAAGGAAAGGAUGAAGGGAAGGCAGGAGCUCCUGAGUGAGUUUGAUGUGCUGGUCCACCACUCGCCUUAGAGUAGCAGGAGGAACAGAGAUGCUCCAGAGUAUUUCUGGAACUCUAGAUGGCCCUUGCACUGCAAGGAGAUCCAACCAGUCCAUCCUAAAGGAAAUCGGUCCUGAAUGUUCAUUGAAAGGACUGAUGCUGAAGCUGAAACUCCAAUACUUUGGCCACCUGAUGUGAAGAGCUGACUCAUUUGAAAAGACCCUGAUGCUGGGAAAGAUUGAAGGCGAGAGGAGAAGGGGAUGACAGCGGAUGAGAUGGUUGGAUGGCAUCACCGACUCAAUGGACAUGAGUUUGAGUAGACCCUGGGAGUUGGUGAUGGACAGGGAGGCCUGGUGUGCUGCAGUUCAUGGGGUUGCAAACAGUCAGACACGACUGAGCGACUGAGCUGAACUGAAC
ensembl:lncRNA